GGGGAUGUGUGGUUUCGACAGGGCUUGGAUACCGGGGAACGCGAGCCGAGGAUGCCACUGGGCCUCGUUAAUCAGGUGGCAAAAAGAAGUACCUGGCAACCGCCAGUCGACUCUCGCUCUCGCUGCUUAGGCAGUAGAGUGAGCGUGGAAGCUGCCUCCGCCU
rnacentral:tmRNA from 1 species